GCGCAAUGAGCGAAAGCCUGACGCAGCAACGCCGCGUGGGGGAUGACGGCCUUCGGGUUGUAAACCUCUUUCGACAUCGACGAAGGGCCUUUUUCGGGUUCUGACGGUAGGUGUAGAAGAAGCACCGGCUAACUACGUGCCAGCAGCCGCGGUAAUACGUAGGGUGCGAGCGUUGUCCGGAUUUAUUGGGCGUAAAGAGCUCGUAGGCGGUUUGUCGCGUCGGCCGUGAAAACCUGCCGCUUAACGGUGGGCGUGCGGUCGAUACGGGCAGACUUGAGUUCGGCAGGGGAGACUGGAAUUCCUGGUGUAGCGGUGAAAUGCGCAGAUAUCAGGAGGAACACCGGUGGCGAAGGCGGGUCUCUGGGCCGAUACUGACGCUGAGGAGCGAAAGCGUGGGGAGCGAACAGGAUUAGAUACCCUGGUAGUCCACGCCGUAAACGUUGGGCGCUAGGUGUGGGGACUGUUUCCACGGUUUCCGUGCCGUAGCUAACGCAUUAAGCGCCCCGCCUGGGGAGUACGGCCGCAAGGCU
rnacentral:rRNA from 1 species